rnacentral:lncRNA from 1 species
CCGGCGGUUGUCGCUGCAGACGUGGGCAAAAGAGGGAACGACGACUCAGCGAGCGCACUUGGCAGAGCAGGGAGGAGGGGAAGGGAUUUUGGAAACACCCCGCGUCUCCCUUCUCGAAUUUCUCUCGGUUCUUGUCAGUUGAUUCGUAGCCUAAAGGUGUGAAGAAAGUGAGGCCGUAAGGAGUGAGAGGCUGGUAAGGUUUGAAUCUUUGUGAUAGAACAGCUGAAGCAAGUAGUUUACAUGAUAAAAG